rnacentral:rRNA from 1 species
AUACGGGAGGCAGCAGUGAGGAAUAUUGGACAAUGGGGGAAACCCUGAUCCAGUGACGCCGCGUGUGUGAAGAAGGCCUGCGGGUUGUAAAGCACUUUUAGUGGGGAUGAAAAGCCGAAGGCUAAUACCUUUCGGUCUUGACCUAACCUACAGAAAAAGCACCGGCUAACUCUGUGCCAGCAGCCGCGGUAAUACAGAGGGUGCAAGCGUUAAUCGGAAUUACUGGGCGUAAAGCGUGCGUAGACGGUUAUGUAAGUCAGGUGUGAAAGCCCCGGGCUCAACCUGGGAAUUGCAUUUGAGACUGCAUAGCUGGGUGCGGAAGAGGGAAGCGGAAUUUCCGGUGUAGCGGUGAAAUGCGUAGAUAUCGGAAGGAACACCAGUGGCGAAAGCGGCUUCCUGGUCCAGCACCGACGUUCAGGCACGAAAGCGUGGGGAGCAAACAGGAUUAGAUACCCCGGU